rnacentral:lncRNA from 10 species
UUUUUUUGUUUUAUUUUAUAAUAGUGUUUUAUUUGAUAUAAUAGGAUGUGAAAGCCCUGAAAAGUUGUGGAACAUCAAAUUUUUGUAAUGGAAUAAAAUUUUAAAUGUGCUAACAGCUAAGUAAUGAAUCUUAUCUCAGUAGUAAAUGAAAUCUACUACAGAAUGAUCUACAUUCAGUAAAUUAUUCUACUCAUAAAGAGUCCUUUAACAUAGCAAACAAUCUAUCCUAAUAUAGCUGUUUUUAAGAUUUGGUGUUUCUGAAUAUUAGAGUUUCCUUAAGGAUCUCUACAUCAUAUAGUGAUCUGAAACAUGUGAAACCAUUUAUGUUGUAUGCAAAAAUUUGGAACAUACUGUCUUCAAAAUCUGAAAUGGAACAUAAAAAUAACAACAUACAUUUAUUGGAUACUUCACUGUGCAUCAGUUUCCAAGCUAAGCACUUGAUACAUGCCAUCUCAUUUAAUCCUCACAAGAAUCCUACAAGGAGCUGUUAUGAGAAGAAUCUGGGAUUGCAAUGUCCCCCCAAAUAGAGAGGGAGCCGAGAGACCAAAGAAUGACUCAGACAAGUCCAGGAAGCGAAAUGUGGUGAUUUUAAAGCUGUUAUAGUGGAAGUAUCAGGACAAGCCCAUUACACGGGUACAGCAAGCUUUAUAAUAGAAGAUGACGACCCAUUGAGGGAUGGAUUUCUUCUC